UCUAUUAUUUUUUUCGUUGACACAUUUUAAGUUACAUAAGUUCUAUAUCAUUCCCCAGUUUGUUUGCUGUACAUAUUCAGUUUUUGUGUGAAGCUCUGUUUAACCUACCCACUUCUGUACAAAGCUGAUAACUAUUACAGACGCACCCACGUAAGAUUGCUAAACUUAUGAUUACUUUUAUUAUACAUUUUAAGUGGAGUGUUUCUUCGCCAGAGAGCUUUGUUGUUGAAACCUGUCAAUAUCCAUGAUGUAUUUGGCUAUUGGAUUGUUGAUUCUCUUCGUGGCACAGACACACAGCCAAACUGAAACAAAGGGCUUAAAAUCAUAUUUAGGAUCUGAUGUAGUAAUGACAUGUGUUAAUGCAACUAUGGCUGGACAACUCAAGUGGAUUCUUCCAGAUGGUAAAAUGAUGAAUGAAGUAAAAUAUGAGACAUACAAUAUGUCAUUAAAAAUUAAAAGUGUUACUGAAGAUGAUAGAGGAAUCUAUGCUUGUGCCUCUAGAGAAGAUGCAGUAUAUAACAUAUACCUACUAAAUAUGGCUGGCCCUCUAUUUGACAGCACUGCUGAUAAAUACCAUACCCAGUUUCUUAUUGGUGGUAUAGCAAGUGUAGUUAUGUUAGGUGUAUGUACUAUUGUAUUGCUUACUUAUCAUUUUCACUAUGAAACCCGGGAACAAAAAAAUAGAGAAGCUGAAGGUAACACUAAUAAUGGCUAUACAGAACAUGAAGACACACAACUUUGAUUUCUUUUCUAUAAACUUUUCAAUAAAAGUAAACUCAAACAAAUUCAAAGCUAUGAUAAGUGAUUGGUUUUAUUUAACAAUAAUUCACUAUUAGGUCUCAAAAGACCUUAAAUAAUUUGAAUUGAAAAUUGUGUCUGAAAAUAUCAUGAAAACUUUUUAAAGAUUUAUUAAUACUGUAAAAAUCUUUCAACAACAUCUAAAAUGUUUAAAUGAAAUAUUAUUAAUCAUAGUUAAAAAGAAAAAGUUAAUGUACAGACUGAAAUAAUAAUAUAACAUGUAUUAAUUUUAGUGUACUAUGAAAGAAAUGUAAACAUUUUUCAUAAUUGUUGAUUUGUGAUUUUUAAACAUAUUAAAUUAAUGGAUAUCUUAAAUGAUAACAAUCAUAACAACCAUUAACCAAUAUGAAAUUUGUUCUCCAAUGUGAAGGAAAUACCAACAUAAAUACAAUUAAGCAUUUUAGUUUUGAAUAUAUUUUAAUUUGAUAUUAGCUACUAACUGAAUAAACAUCAUAUCUUCAAUACUCACAAAA